GAAAGUGAAAAAUAAGGUUUUGAAAGCCUUUAACGUAUUGUGAUUACCACUUUCU
rnacentral:tRNA from 1 species